rnacentral:rRNA from 2 species
GCCUUCGGACUGGCUCAGGGAGGUCGGCAACGACCACCCAGAGCCGGAAAGUUGGUCAAACUCGGUCAUUUAGAGGAAGUAAAAGUCGUAACAAGGUCUCCGUAGGUGAACCUGCGGAGGGAUCAUUA